rnacentral:rRNA from 1 species
AUUGAACGCUGGCGGCAGGCCUAACACAUGCAAGUCGAGCGGAUGAAGGGAGCUUGCUCCUGGAUUCAGCGGCGGACGGGUGAGUAAUGCCUAGGAAUCUGCCUGGUAGUGGGGGAUAACGUCCGGAAACGGGCGCUAAUACCGCAUACGUCCUGAGGGAGAAAGUGGGGGAUCUUCGGACCUCACGCUAUCAGAUGAGCCUAGGUCGGAUUAGCUAGUUGGUGGGGUAAAGGCCUACCAAGGCGAUGAUCCGUAACUGGUCUGAGAGGAUGAUCAGUCAAACUGAAACGGAACACGGUCCCGACCUCCAAGGGAAGCCACAAGUGGGAAUAUUUGGAAAAUGGCGGAAAGCUUAAUCAAGCCAGCCGGGUGGUUGGAAGAAGUCUUCCGAUUGUUAAGCCCUUUUAGUUGGGAGGAAGGGCAGUAAGUUAAUACCUUGCUGUUUUGACGUUACCAACAGAAUAAGCACCGGCUAACUUCGUG